GGAUGAACGCUGGCGGCGUGCCUAAUACAUGCAAGUCGAGCGAACGGACGAGAAGCUUGCUUUUCUGAUGUUAGCGGCGGACGGGUGAGUAACACGUGGAUAACCUACCUAUAAGACUGGGAUAACUUCGGGAAACAGGAGCUAAUACCGGAUAAUAUUUUGAACCGCAUGGUUCAAAAGUGAAAGACGGUCUUGCUGUCACUUAUAGAUGGAUCCGCGCUGCAUUAGCUAGUUGGUAAGGUAACGGCUUACCAAGGCAACGAUGCAUAGCCGACCUGAGAGGGUGAUCGGCCACACUGGAACUGAGACACGGUCCAGACUCCUACGGGAGGCAGCAGUAGGGAAUCUUCCGCAAUGGGCGAAAGCCUGACGGAGCAACGCCGCGUGAGUGAUGAAGGUCUUCGGAUCGUAAAACUCUGUUAUUAGGGAAGAACAUAUGUGUAAGUAACUGUGCACAUCUUGACGGUACCUAAUCAGAAAGCCACGGCUAACUACGUG
rnacentral:rRNA from 1 species